rnacentral:other from 1 species
UGGGUGCUGGGUUGUGCGCCAGUCGCAACAGUCCUCGAGCCGUUAAUCGACACCUAGGGUCCUCGCGCUGGGCGGGAGGUGUGCAUGUCCGACAUUGCAUCGGAAAGCCUGAAUCCCGAACCGUGACGACCCCUCUUGAACCUUAGGGUUCAAGGGCCUCAGCGACAGCGGCAACCUGGUCCAGAG